rnacentral:rRNA from 1 species
UAGGGAAUCUUCGGCAAUGGGGGCAACCCUGACCGAGCAACGCCGCGUGAGUGAAGAAGGUUUUUCGGAUCGUAAAGCUCUGUUGUAAGUCAAGAACGGGUGUGAGAGUGGAAAGUUCACACUGUGACGGUAGCUUACCAGAAAGGGACGGCUAACUACGUGCCAGCAGCCGCGGUAAUACGUAGGUCCCGAGCGUUGUCCGGAUUUAUUGGGCGUAAAGCGAGCGCAGGCGGUUUGAUAAGUCUGAAGUUGAAAGGCUGUGGCUCAACCAUAGUUCGCU